UCAUGCAUCCCAGGCAUGCAGUUCUGGGGGCAGGAAGGAUCUAGCAGCCUCUUCCUUGUCACUGUCACCACUCAGUACAGCGUGCACAUGCAAGGGAGCUCUACAGCCCCCCUCCUCCAGCCUAGAGUCCUCAUCCCCACACGCUACAUCUCCAUUGCACAGACCCAGAAGAUUAAUGCAGCCAUCUCCCCUUUCCCAAAGCCCUGGUCGCAGCUUUGCAAGGCAGGAGCCUCCUUCUCCGCUCUCCUCUCCCUGACAGAUGCCUCAGAGCCCGGGGCCGCAGUUAAGAGCUACUACUAAUCAGGGAGCAAAGCUAGCCAGCGCACAAAAAACCGUUUCCAAACAACCACCUCUUACCUAGGUGAGGUUACUAAGAGGUCAGGCACCAAAAGGGUGGCUCCCAGUAAGCAGUGGCAGAGAGAAAUCUGGGACACCUGGAGAGCCCAAGUGAAACAAAGCACAGGUUCAGAAACCAAAUUGCGGGAACAAGGACAGAGAAACAAAUUGAUCAUCACUGUCAAUCAUCCAAGUGCAUCCCCAAAGUUCAGGU